AUGCAACGAGCGUCCAGGGAUGAACGCGUUCUGGUUCACGCUGACGAGGGCAUUGAGCUUGGGCGCGAGACGCAGCGAGAGGACCUUCGCGAAGAUCUUGGCGACGAGGUGGAUGAGGCUUAUCGGCCUGUAGUCUCCAAGACAGCGAGCGUCCGCGCGCUUGGGCAGCAGCGUGAGGAGCGCCUGGUUAAGGCAGCUGAAACCACGGCCUCGGAGCGCGUAGAGCUGCUGGAACACGUCGAUGAGGUCCUGCUUCUCCCUGUAGAAUGUGAGAGGGUUUUCGCUAAUCUUUGUGAAAUUAAGUUUGAUGAAGAUUUGAAUUCACGUGAAAAAAUAUCUCAAAUUAUGCUGAAGAAUGUAGUUGAACAUAUACAAAGAGAGUGCAUUUAG
rnacentral:rRNA from 1 species